AGCAGCCGCGGUAAUUCCAGCUCCAAUAGCGUAUAUUAAAGUUGUUGCAGUUAAAAAGCUCGUAGUUGAAUUUCGGGAUUGACGUGAUGGUCGUGCCUUAAGGGGUAUGAACUGUCGCAUUUGAUUUCUCACCUUCUGGAGAAGCAUGAUGUCCUUAAUUGGGUGUCAUGUGGAACCAGGACCUUUACCUUGAAAAAAUUAGAGUGUUUAAAGCAGGCAUUUUGCUCGAAUACAUUAGCAUGGAAUAAUAGAAUAGGACGGCAUGGUUCUAUUUUGUUGGUUUCUAGGAUCACCGUAAUGAUUAAUAGGGAUAGUUGGGGGCAUUAGUAUUCAAUUGUCAGAGGUGAAAUUCUUGGAUUUAUUGAAGACUAACUACUGCGAAAGCAUUUGCCAAGGAUGUUUUCAUUAAUCAAGAACGAAAGUUAGGGGAUCGAAGACGAUCAGAUACCGUCGUAGUCUUAACCAUAAACUAUGCCGACUAGGAAUCAGACGAUGUUAAUUUUUAAUG
rnacentral:rRNA from 1 species